AUUGCUAGUAGUAGCUCAUUGUGCUUCUGGUGCAGUAAAACAGAUCAAGAAAGCGGAGAGCAAUGGCGGAAGUGCAGAGAAGGGGAAGACCGUUGCCUCCUCCUCCGGCGAGAGUCCCACCGGGUCCUCCUCCCCUCAGAAUGGGCCCUCGGGUCCAACCCGUUGACCGUGAAAAGACUUGUCCACUCUUGCUUCGCGUUUUCACCAAGGUUUUGCAUUCUGGAAGUAGUCUCUUGUACUCUCCAGUGUUGUCAAAGGCUCAUUUAAGGCGCGCUUAAGCCCCGAAGCUCAUAAAUGCUACUGAUGGUGUUUCGCCUCGCUUAAGCUAUGUUUCGGUGUAGGGAAUGCACUAAGGCGUGGGCACUCAUUGCCAGUGAGUUCUAUCUUGAAUGGAGCAGUACUAAACAACAAAUAUAACCUGCACAUAAGUGUAUUAGUUGUUGAGGAAAA